GUGACCUCAAAUCAGGUAGGACUACCCGCUGAACUUAAGCAUAUCAAUAAGCGGAGGAAAAGAAACUAACAAGGAUUCCCCUAGUAACUGCGAGUGAAGCGGGAAAAGCUCAAAUUUAAAAUCUGGCGGUCUUUUGGCUGUCCGAGUUGUAAUCUAGAGAAGUGUUAUCCGCGCUGGACCGUGUACAAGUCUCCUGGAAUGGAGCAUCAUAGAGGGUGAGAAUCCCGUCUUUGACAUGGACUGCCAGGGCUUUGUGAUGCGCUCUCAAAGAGUCGAGUUGUUUGGGAAUGCAGCUCAAAAUGGGUGGUAAAUUCCAUCUAAAGCUAAAUAUUGGCGAGAGACCGAUAGCGAACAAGUACCGUGAGGGAAAGAUGAAAAGAACUUUGGAAAGAGAGUUAAACAGUACGUGAAAUUGCUGAAAGGGAAACGCUUGAAGUCAGUUGCGUCGUCCAGGGAUCAACCUUGCUUUUGCUGGGUGCACUUUCUGGUAUGACGGGUCAGCAUCAAUUUUGACCAUUGGAAAAAGGCUAAGGGAAUGUGGCAUCUUUGGAUGUGUUAUAGCCCUUGGUCACAUACAAUGGUUGGGAUUGAGGAACUCAGCACGCCGCAAGGCCGGGUUUUAAACCACGUACGUGCUUAGGAUGCUGGCAAAUAUGGCUUUAAUCGACCCGUC
rnacentral:rRNA from 1 species